rnacentral:rRNA from 1 species
GCGCUGAGGUUGGUACUUGUACCAACUGGAUGAGCAGCGAACGGGUGAGUAACGCGUGGGGAAUCUGCCUUUGAGCGGGGGACAACAUUUGGAAACGAAUGCUAAUACCGCAUAAAAACGUUAAACACAAGUUUUAAGUUUGAAAGAUGCAAUUGCAUCACUCAAAGAUGAUCCCGCGUUGUAUUAGCUAGUUGGUGAGGUAAAGGCUCACCAAGGCGAUGAUACAUAGCCGACCUGAGAGGGUGAUCGGCCACAUUGGGACUGAGACACGGCCCAAACUCCUACGGGAGGCAGCAGUAGGGAAUCUUCGGCAAUGGACGAAAGUCUGACCGAGCAACGCCGCGUGAGUGAAGAAGGUUUUCGGAUCGUAAAACUCUGUUGGUAGAGAAGAACGUUGGUGAGAGUGGAAAGCUCAUCAAGUGACGGUAACUACCCAGAAAGGGACGGCUAACUACGUGCCAGCAGCCGCGGUAAUACGUAGGUCCCGAGCGUUGUCCGGAUUUAUUGGGCGUAAAGCGAGCGCAGGUGGUUUACUAAGUCUGGUGUAAAAGGCAGUGGCUCAACCAUUGUAUGCAUUGGAAACUGGUAGACUUGAGUGCAGGAGAGGAGAGUGGAAUUCCAUGUGUAGCGGUGAAAUGCGUAGAUAUAUGGAGGAACACCGGUGGCGAAAGCGGCUCUCUGGCCUGUAACUGACACUGAGGCUCGAAAGCGUGGGGAGCAAACAGGAUUAGAUACCCUGGUAGUCCACGCCGUAAACGAUGAGUGCUAGGUGUAGGGAGCUAUAAGUUCUCUGUAUCGCAGCUAACGCAAUAAGCACUCCGCCUGGGGGAGUACGACCGCAAGGUUGAAACUCAAAGGAAUUGACGGGGGCCCGCACAAGCGGUGGAACCAUGUGGUUUAAUUCGAAGCAACGCGAAGAACCUUACCAGGUCUUGACAUACUCGUGCUAUUCCUAGAAGGAUAGGAAGUUCCUUCGGGACACGGGAUACAGGUGGUUGCAUGGUUGUCGUCAGCUCGUGUCGUGAGAAGGUUGGGGUUAAGUCCCGCAACGAG